GAUUUUUCUUCUAUAAUUUUCAGAAGUGCCUUUUUUUGCUGUGACUUAAAUGCAGAGCAAUGGGAAAAUACCUCAACAAUAUAACUGUAUCAUAUCACCUAACCCAAGGAAAAGUGCUUAGACAUGUUGAAGGGUGAAACCACAUAGCAUAUUCAAAUGAAGAUCACAGAGAGAAAGAUUGGUUGAAUAGACUUAGGAGUGUAGGCGAUCUGUGAGUGUGAUCAAUCAGUGACAAAUCCAUGUACAGGACAAGCCUGUAGGAUGCAAUUUCAGUUUGGGGGGUUGGGAACACCCCUACCUCGAGAUUCCAACCAUGUAGUGACUAGA